rnacentral:hammerhead_ribozyme from 1 species
AUCCAGCUGGUGAGUCCCAAAUAGGACGGAACGUAAGUUCUGGAU